UUAAACCUUAUGUUUUCCAGUAUGAGGACCAGUCACUGUGCUUCGAAUUGAGGAUCAGUCACUUUUUAUUAACAAUCUAUUAGUAAAGUUCUUGACCUGAUCAUAACAAAAUAGCUGGUCCGACCAACUUCUCUAGAAGUGCAAUAUAAAAUAAAGUAGUUUUACAUUGUCCUUUCUUCCUCUAUUUCAUCACAGAAAUUAACUACCAUGAAUUGACACCUGAUAACUGUUUAAAG
rnacentral:lncRNA from 1 species